AGGCCAAAGAUACAUCCAUUCGUUUA
rnacentral:piRNA from 1 species